rnacentral:rRNA from 1 species
UACGUAGGGGGCGAGCGUUGUCCGGAAUUAUUGGGCGUAAAGGGUGCGCAGGCGGGUUCAUAAGUCAGGGGUGAAAUCCCGAGGCUCAACCUCGGAACGGCCUUUGAUACUGUGGAUCUUGAGUCCGGAAGAGGUGAGUGGAACUGCGAGUGUAGAGGUGAAAUUCGUAGAUAUUCGCAAGAACACCAGUGGCGAAGGCGGCUCACUGGUCCGGAACUGACGCUCAUGCACGACAGCGUGGGGAGCAAACAGG